rnacentral:sRNA from 1 species
GUGUAUCGUUCGUACACGUCGGUUCCUUCGCGCCGUCCGCACCCACCUGACGACCGCUCGCUCCGUUUUGUUAGCC